CAUAUGGACACAUGGUUUUAAUAACUGGGCCAGAAUAAUAGAGGAGUAUUACUAGUAAUUAUGGACCAGGCUUAUUUUUUGUCUUAGUCUUGACCCAUUUGCCCAUAUAUAAACAUCAUAAAAAAAAAUACAGUACAUGAUCCUUAUUGCAAUCAGAUCUAUACAAUUUCGGUCGAGCAGGAUUAGUCAACCAUAAGUCUUAAAAUCAAACCCGAUCGAGCUUGGGAUGAGCUUGAUUAAUUUUGGGAAGAGGAAUUGUUGGAGAAGACCAAGUCAGCUUUUUAUGCCCAAUCGCCACUUUUAUUUGGGUUACCACAGAGAGAAACGUCUUCAACGGUAAGAGCUAAUCUCGGCUAAAUCUCAACAAAACUUGACAUAUGCCAUAUAUCUCUUUCACAAUCAAAUUAACCGAGAACCGAGAGAGAUAUAAUAAGAGAAUGUAGGCGACGAGUUCUCUCUGAAAUUGGGAACAAAUUGUGUGUGAGAGAGAGACCGAUAGAUGAUGAUGAUUAACAGAAUGUAUCCGAUUCCAGCAGCGGCUAUGGUGAAUAGCCGUGAGAGUCUGAAUUUUGAAGAGGUCCGAAUUUGGGGAAAAUCGAUUUUGGGUAAUACAAAGAGGAGAGGGCGAGAGAGAUGAAGGGGCGUUUUUGCGGAGAGGAUAGGGUGAGAUGAAAUGAUGAUGAUGAUGAUGAUGAUGAUGAUGAUGAUGAUGCAUGUUGAUGGGUAAAAGGAUGAAAUGUUUUAGUGUCUCGUCUCGUGUCCUUUUAAAGUUAGAAUCCGAGGUCACUUGUUAAUGGUGUGUCUCGUUUAGUAUUUUGAAUGUGUCGUGUUUGAGUUCACGUAAUGGUGAGAUACUGUUCCUUUUGAGUUAUUUAUUAUUGAGAUGGUACUUUGAUUUAUUCAAGUUA